rnacentral:lncRNA from 9 species
GGCAGUGCAAUCUCCAUGAGAGAUAAAUGAGGGGGUACAGAACAGUCAACGGCAGAGCAGGUGGACUGCCAGAGUCUGGCCAGAAAACAUAAAAGGGCCAUAGAGUUCGGCCGAGAUAAAACAAACACUGGGAGCAAGAAGAGAAAACCUAACUUUGGGUGAAGGUCCAACUGACCAGCUAAUAAAGGGGAACUUAGGUUAAGAUAUGACGGCCAAAAAGUACAUUCAGAUAUACAUUAACUCGGAUCACUGAGCAGGAGGGUGAACAAGAGGGUAAGUCCCCUGUUAUCUAUUUUGGCUGAGGGACACAAAAAACUGAGAGCGAGCAUUUAUUAUCAUCCUGUAGUUUUGAGACAUGUAAUGGAACAUGAUUUGCUAUCGUCUGCCAGAGAUAGGAUGCACGACACUAACUGUGGUAUAAUUUUUCUUUCCUCUUUCAAGAUGGUAUUUACGUGGAAGACGCCAGCCUCAAGUUUCACUCAGAGUUCACUCCUUUUGACGCUGAACCCCAGGUGGCAACUUCCACAUGUGCACGUGAUAGGCCACAGGGGGUUUCUGUGCCGCACAGAAGAGUCUGGGCUUCCCAAGUGGGGACAGAGGGACGCAGUUUCAGGCUUAGCCAGGUGCUCUUCUGGAGGACCCUGUCCUCCGUGGAGUUGAUUCUCCCGUGACUAAGCAGGGGAGGAAAGGGCCUCUUACCCCGGGCCCCAGGCUAAUGAGUGAAGAGUGUGACCUUCCAAAACCGCAUGUCUCACAGGAGGAAUAAUUACCAACAUCUCCCUAACGGUUAACCAAAGGCCCCAAGCCUGGGAGAACUGGGUAUUUAGCAGCAAAAGAAGCAUUCGAAGGACACAUCUCUUCCCCAGCUAGUCGCCCUAGGACCACAUGUUCUUGCACGUGGCUGCCUCUGAGCCAUUCUCCUGGGCUAGAUGACGCGCAGCUGGCCUGUGGCCCUUGGCUAAAGGUGAAGGAUGUCUUUAUAAAACUCGUUAUCACCUCUUUUGUCUUUUCCAAGUGGGAGGAGGGUGUUGAUAGGGAAGAUUCUAGCAGGGAGCUCACUUUUUGUCUUUCCUCCCCUUCCCGACAGCAGAAGGAGGACCUCCCACGGUGAGGACAAGGAGCCCCCUGCCCCCAUGUCUGAGAGACAGCACACUGCACCACCCCUCCGCCCCAGCAAAGGACCCCAAUUCUUCGAAGCAAUGGGUUAUCGAUUGGUUACCACAGAUCCACAGAUUGGUUUAAGAGGAUCCCGUUGGAGCUGACAUCUCAAAGAAAGAGCAGGAGGGAUGACUCGAGAGAACCACUUUAAGGGAGACGAGUCAUAUAGCCCAGCUAUAUGACAAGAAAUCAUGUGACAUGUUCCAGCCGAGCGUCAGAGCCCCUGAAAGAGGUGAAGAUGAAGCAGCGUCACUGCUGUGGCCCCAGAAAUAGCUCGGAAGGAGGUGUUCAAGCUGCCACGCAGGUGAGUGCUUUCCACUCUUCUAGGACUCACUCCCCUCAAAAAAGCAGGAACCCUUACCCACCCUCGCAGCAUGCCUCUCCUGUCUGCUCCACUGCCGGCGUUUAAAGCAGCUGUUCUCAAGCUUCAACGUGUGUGUAUGCAUCUCCUCGGGAUCUUGUUAAAUAAAGAUUCUAAUUCAGCCAGUGUGAGCUGGGACCUGAGACCCUACAUCUCUCACAAGCCCCCAGGGAAUGCUGACGCUGCUGGUUCAUGGGCUGCGCUUAGAGCUGAUGGGUUGAAAGCCAGGAGCUCUGGCCCCCUGGCAUAUCCAUUCAGUGUUUCUGUUUCUCGUGAUUGCUGGGACUAGUGGCACUGCAUCACCUGGCACCCCGUCUGCAGGUGAUCAGCGUGACUACCUGACACAGACUCCCCUGCUGUUCGGGUGAGAAGGCGCUGAAGGGAAGCGUUUACCGCUGAAGCAUCAUCACUCUCGGUAUGAAAGCAAGUCUUGCCUGCUUCCUUUGGUCGACUUCCUAAGGGGAUUACUUGCUUCGCCAGGAUAUAUAUAUUUAAAUUACUUUCAAUUCCACAUCCCUCUCCCACCCUGCCACGUUGUCCCUUCCAAAUGGCGCCUGAGGCUCACUGCCUUGUAUAAUUCUUCCUUUUCUACACCUGGUUAGAAGUAUAAAAUUUGUACCACCCUCCUGAUCAGAAUAAUGCAUAUAAACUCCCUCACUGGGGGAAAAACAGUCUUUUAUUGCCUGUGCUGCUUUUACCUAACAUCCUCUCCCACCAAGCCACAGCCCCUCACUCCCCAGCUCAAGGACGUAGAUGCUGGUCGAGGCAGAAUGUUUACAAGAAAAUGGAACCCUCCAGGACAAGGGACUUGGACAAACGGUAGGAAGCAUACUGUCUUCUUGCCAAUCCUCUUUCUCCAGCCCUGUGUGCUAACCUCUCCCUCCCCUGUCUGCCCCCACCAACAGCUUGCGCCCACAUUUCCAGGCUGUCUCCUCCCCCUGCACUUUCCUCCUCCAGUUUUUCACACACUCUUACCUCCCCCCUAACUCUCCCCGCCCUCCAUUCCACUCCCGACUCUUCUUACUUAUGAGAAACAUCUCUAGGAAGUGAAUAAAGAUUUUAAAACACUGCUGAAGAGAGGAGAGUGCCAGCCGGGGAUGAAGGAAGGGCUGGAUGAGGAUGGAUUGAAAGUGUCAUCCGUCUGCAUGGUGAGCGAGCUCAGCUUCAGGACGGAGAGAACUUCAGGGGCGGGAAAGAAAGGGGCGUGAGUGAAGGACCAUGACCUCUCAGUGGGACAGGGAAGGAAGCAGAGCCCAGAGGUCCUCAGUGACAUGCAAGGAUGAGAGGGACACAGUGGGAGUCUCUGGAGGGAAGGAGAGCAGGAGGUGGUCGGAAGCAGGCUGUUUGGACAGUAAGUGCAGAGGGGUGGUGCAGCCUGGUUCCUAGCCUGGGAAGCGAUGCCAGUGGGAGAGGCUUAAAGUGGAGACGAAAGGGGACACAGAGCAAGUUUAUUUAAUGAACGCUUAGAUGGGAGAAGACACGCCUGAAAAGGAGGAAAGAGGGACGAGCUGUUCUGACUCUCUAAUUCAUGUGAAAAUUUUAAAUAUUUUGACAAAUUCAAAAUUAUCUUUUCCAUUUAAAUGCACUUCCUAGAGCUUUUCUUUACUUCAGUGAGAACUCAAUGUAACUAACAAAACACUUUCUUCAUCAUCACCACUAAGAAAUUUAGGGACAUUCACUAUGUCAGGCCCACAGCGAGCACUUUCUACAAUAUUUCACUUAUGAGUAGCGCUGUUGCUACCUAUCUUACAAAUAAGGAAACUGAAGUACAGCAAGGCUGAGUAUUUUGUCCAACAUCACAAAGCUGGCAUCAGAGCUCUCAAACCCUGCUAAUCUGACUCCAAAGUCCUUAGCCACAAUGCACUGUCAUCUUCCAAAAUCAGAUGUCCACAUCUGAUGACAGUGUCAAAAGCAAGACCCAAGCAGAGAACCAAAAAACUUCGAGUAAAACACAUCAAAAUCUUAACAGAGCUUGUUUUUGACAGCAAGAUGCUGGGUGAUUUCUUUAUACUUUAUUUAUACACUUUCUUUGACUGUACCCAAGGCAUAUGCAAGUUCUUGGGCCAGGGACUGAAUCCGAGCCACAGCUGCAACCUACACCACAGCUGUGGCAAUGCUGGAUCCUUAACCCACUGCGCCACAGUGGGAACUCCUCUUUUUACUUUAUUUUAUGCAUUUUCACAAUGGUCUUUAAUGAUUAUCUUACUUUUACAAUAAAAACUAUUAAAAGGUCCCUUAUAUGUGGAAUCUAAAAAAGGGAUACAGAGAACUUCUUAGCAGAACAGAUACUGACUCACAGACUCUGCAAAACUUAUGGUGUCCAAAGGAGACAGGUUGCAGGGGGAGGGAUGGGCAGGGGUUUGGGGUGGGAAUGCUGUAAAAUUGGGUUGUGAUGACCGUUGUACAACUAGAAGUGUAAUAAAAUCCACUCCGUUAAAAAGCAUUAAAAUGCAAAAUGUAAGUAA